rnacentral:tRNA from 1 species
UAUAGCUUAGUGGUAGAGCUCUUGCCUGGCAUGCAGAAGGUCCUGGGUUCAAUCCUUAGUA